rnacentral:rRNA from 1 species
UACGGGGGGAGCAAGCGUUGUUCGGAUUUACUGGGCGUAAAGGGCGCGUAGGCGGUCAGCACAAGUCAGUUGUGAAAUCUCCGGGCUUAACUCGGAAAGGUCAACUGAUACUGUGCGACUAGAGUGCGGAAGGGGCAACUGGAAUUCUCGGUGUAGCGGUGAAAUGCGUAGAUAUCAAGAGGAACACCUGCGGCGAAGGCGGGUUGCUGGGCCGACACUGACGCUGAGGCGCGAAAGCGUGGGGAGCAAACAGG